UAGAUAGAUGCUCGCUGGUUAGAGCGCUUAGCUGUUAACUAAGAAAUUGAAGGAUCGAGGCCUUUCUAUCUAG
rnacentral:tRNA from 1 species